CCUACGUGGGGUAGCAGUGAGGAAUAUUGGUCAAUGGGCGCGAGCCUGAACCAGCCAAGUAGCGUGAAGGAUGACUGCCCUACGGGUUGUAAACUUCUUUUAUAAAGGAAUAAAGUGAGGCACGUGUGCCUUUUUGUAUGUACUUUAUGAAUAAGGAUCGGCUAACUCCGUGCCAGCAGCCGCGGUAAUACGGAGGAUCCGAGCGUUAUCCGGAUUUAUUGGGUUUAAAGGGAGCGUAGAUGGGUUGUUAAGUCAGUUGUGAAAGUUUGCGGCUCAACCGUAAAAUUGCAAUUGAUACUGGCAGUCUUGAGUACAGUUGAGGUAGGCGGAAUUCGUGGUGUAGCGGUGAAAUGCUUAGAUAUCACGAAGAACUCCGAUUGCGAAGGCAGCUUACUAAACUGCCACUGACAUUGAUGCUCGAAAGUGUGGGUAUCAAACAGGAUUAGAUACCCUAGUAGUC
rnacentral:rRNA from 1 species